CAGUCGUCCUUGUUUUUCUUUCCCUGGUUAUCAGCCUUGUUGUGAAGCGGUUUUCAGAGCACCUGCCCGAGCCCCGCUAGGCUUCCUGUAGCCUACAUCGACUUCUGUGUGCAUUUUAAACGCUAACAACGGAAGUCAGGCGGUCCACAUCCAGGUCUCGCCAGCAGGGCCGAGGCCAGCACCAACCGUUUACAGCACAAGAUCAAAAAAGGCGUGAUUCCGUCAGUCAGCGCCGCGGGCCGCUUGACACCACUCUGCGGCCAGCGCGACGCAAUGUGGGUCAGAGAAGAAGCCCUGCUGCAGGACGAGAGGCCGGCUGGCAGAGGAGCCCAACCAGCCCCGCUCUGGCCUUAAAGGAAUCAGUCAAGUGAAUGGCUUAGCCGGAUCAAAUGGAAGCAGGCUCCCUCGCUUGAGAAUGGCAUUCCAAGGAACAAAAAGUCUGGAGAGCAUCUCCAAGGCUCUGUUAUAUAAGAACAGGCUGACCCCGCACCAUGUCUGUCUGAAAAUCUGUUGUGUCUGCAGCAUGAUAUAACUAAGGGAUUUUCUUCGCCGGUAAUGAUGACUUUGAAUAACAUCCCACCCCCUCCACCCCGCCCAUCUGUAUGCGUGUGUGCACUGUGUUAUGUGGCUUGUGUCGUCCCCUCGGGGCGAAGCUGAGGCGCUCGGUGGAGGCAGACUGACUACAGAAGAGCCAGGCAUGGCUAUAUUUCAUAAAUAAAUCAGUUUUAUUUGUAACAUAUAAAAUUAAAUCAUUUUACAAUUUAUUCCAGUAUGACACAUAAUAUCCAAAUAAAGUAACUACAUUUGUCGAUAAAUAAUAUUAAUAAUAAUAAUAAAAACAUUCAUUCAUUCUUUGACAUGUUUCGCUUUGUCUUUUUUUUUUGUUGUUGUUGAUAAAAGUACGGGAGUUCAAUAGCUGCCACAAAA